rnacentral:rRNA from 1 species
GCUUUAUAAAAUUAAAUAUUUUAAAUAUUUUUUUCAUAUAACUUUUUCUGUUAAAAUUUUAUUUAGUUGGGGCGACGGUAGUAUAAAUAUAGGUAACUGCUAUUAUUUAAAACAAAUAUAUUUGAUUACAAUUAAUAUAAAUGAUCCCUUUUAAGGAUUAAAAAAUCAAGUU